rnacentral:rRNA from 1 species
UACGUAGGGUGCAAGCGUUGUCCGGAAUUAUUGGGCGUAAAGAGCUCGUAGGCGGUUCGUCGCGUCGGCUGUGAAAUCCCGGAGCUCAACUCCGGGUCUGCAGUCGAUACGGGCGGACUCGAGUUCGGCAGGGGAGACUGGAAUUCCUGGUGUAGCGGUGAAAUGCGCAGAUAUCAGGAGGAACACCGGUGGCGAAGGCGGGUCUCUGGGCCGAUACUGACGCUGAGGAGCGAGAGCGUGGGGAGCGAACAGG